UACGAAGGGUGCAAGCGUUGUUCGGAUUUACUGGGCGUAAAGCGUCCGUAGGUGGUUUGUUAAGUCAGGGGUGAAAUCCCACGGCUCAACCGUGGAACAGCCCUUGAUACUGCGCGACUUGAAUCCGGGAGAGGGUGGCGGAAUUCCAGGUGUAGGAGUGAAAUCCGUAGAUAUCUGGAGGAACAUCAGUGGCGAAGGCGGCCACCUGGACCGGUAUUGACGCUGAGGCGCGAAAGCGUGGGGAGCAAACAGG
rnacentral:rRNA from 1 species